UUCGCUUGACUUAUUGCAUAAAUUAGCUAUUUGGAUUUGCUAGGAAUUUGUUUGAUUAGAGCUACACAGGUUUACAUUUUUGUGAAAUUUUGUUCUGUUUCGGCCGCAAUGUGUAUGCUUAGUGAGUUAGUGAACUAAUGGUGCCAUCAAUCCAAGGUCAUGAGACCAUUCCACUUUUAUUAAAUCUUAUGACUAAUUAAAUCAAUUAAACAGGUCACAUUACUAGCAUUAUAUAUGUCAUGUGACUAAAAGUAGACGUGGAUACUCAUUUGGAGGAAAGUUCUAUCUUUGUUUAAAAUUAACAAAAUGGUAGCUGAAUGUGGGGAGUUAGAAACAAUAAGAGGGGUCUUGGUUUCGAUUUAUUAAUUCACGACAUGGUUAUGAGGUUUUUAACCUAACAUGAUGAGCUCAAUAAAGAUUGAACCCCACCGACACAAAUAUGCUGAUUCCGAAUUCUAUAAGCUUGUACCAGUUCAUUUGGAAGUACAAUAUGGUUGGUGUUCAGUGUGGGGUAUGAUGAAGCCAAAGUUGCUGGAAUAGGAGUUUCCUUACCAUGUAGGGCGGGAACUUAGUUGGAUAUAUAUAUCAGAUGUCUUGUUUUCACCCUGUCAAUGGACAAGAUAGUGAUGCAUCUUAAGUUUUGGACCUAAACUGAUAGAAAGUAGAAUAUUGAUGAAAUUCGAAUAAAGUUGACUACCACAUGUCGUCUGCCCAAAGGAGAGGUCUGUGUAUUUGGCUGCACCAGUCGUGACACUGCCAUUCUUGUGGUCAUCUACUUCCGAAAUAGGCCCUACGAUGCAGUUACUUAAGUUUUCAUUCAAAAACUGUUUGCAGGGAAAUAUAACUUUAGGUGCUGAUAGGUCAUUGAAUGGACGAACUUCCUAAUAAUAGCACCUGUUUCAUCGCCCCAUUUUUAUUGACUUAUCUGUAUUAAUUAUUUACUACAUGAUUAUUUCCUAUGGCCUUAUCAGCAUGCAUCCCUACUAUGCAAUGAAAUCGCAAUUUUUGUGCAUGUCUGUGUGUAGAACAAAAUGAUAUAAAACUGUUAUCUGUUGAUUAGUAUAUGUACCAUUCAAUGCAUGGCUGCAAGCAAUUGUAUGAGGGGGACUUAACCAAAAGUGAAACUGCAGUUAAUGAGCACCAAUCACUUCCAUUAUUAGUUAUUCUGGACAACUUGUUAUAGUAGUAAAAAUGGCAGGAUUUAUGAAGGGCUAGUUGUGGGUUUGGGUUAGGAGUUGUUUAACAAGGGAUUAUAUUGAAGAGGAAAGGGUUGAUAACAUAGAGUAGCAUUAAAACAGAAUAAAGGUAAGGAGACAAAGAUGAGGUGCACUGGUCUCACUUGUGGAAUCUCACUCACCACAAGGAGUAUGGCACCUUGACACAAAUAGAUCCAGUAAUUUCUCAACAUUUCAUUCCCAAAAUCACAAGUUACGAUAGUAGAUAGGUUGGUAGAUAAAGUUUACUUAAAAGCACUUCAUGUAAAAGCGAGGUACACCAGAUUGCCUCAAGUAUGCUUAUUAUUUGUUUGUUGUUGACGAUUUCAGAGAUUGCAAAGCCAGUGUCUCUGCAAACAGCAAGUUCUAAAUACCCAUCAACGAUUGCAGUGUCUCUGCUAAAAAGGAGAAUUGUCUAGCAGUGAUGAGAAAAAAUAUAAAAUCCUGAAGCAGGCAACUGAAAGGGAGAUUUCUCAAAGUGCUGAUGUCAUCUGUUGCACAUGUGUCGGUGCUGUAGAUCCUCAAUCGGCAAAUUUUAGGUUCUGCCAGGUUGAAAUGCAUGUAACAUGUGGAAGUUUAUCCAAGAUUCACUUGUUUAAAAGUUUACUCUUUUUAACUUUUUGUUUUUUGUUUUGCUGCUAUUGGUAUAGUGCAUUUGGAUCAUUAAGUGGUUUUAUUUUUUUUUGGAUUUUUAUA